GUUGUACUUGAAAGGAUCCAAGAAGAAUCCAUUCAGACAGAAUCUGUUGUCACAUUUAGUAAAGGGGAUGAAGUGGAGGCCUUCUACUCUCCUGAGAAAACAUGGUACAGGGCAAAGGUUUUGGGGAAAAGGAAGAACCCAGAAGGUUACAGAGUGAAGUAUGUGUGUGAUAGCUAUGUGGAAGUUGUAAAGCCUGCACAUGUUAGGAACCUCCCAGCUUGAUUAUGUGAAAAGGAUAGAUGCCAAUGGACUUUUUUUUUUUUUAGA